rnacentral:rRNA from 1 species
AACGAACGCUGGCGGCAGGCCUAACACAUGCCAGUCGAGCGCCCUUUCGGGGGUGCGGCGGCUGGGUGCGUACCGCGUGGGAAUAUGCCCUUCUCUACGGAAUAGCUUCGGGAAACUGAGAGUAAUACCGUAUACGCCCUGUGGGGGAAAGAUUUAUUGGGGAAGGAUUAGCCCGCGUUGGAUUAGGUAGUUGGUGGGGUAAUGGCCUACCAAGCGGACGAUAUAUAGCUGGUUUGAGAGGAUGAUCAGACACACUGGGACUGAGACACGGCCCAGACUCCUACGGGAGGCAGCAGUGGUGAAUCUUAGACAAUGGGGGCAACCCUGAUCUAGCCAUGCCGCGUGAGUGAUGAAGGCCUUAGGGUUGUAAAGCUCUUUCAGCUGGGAAGAUAAUGACGGUACCAGCAGAAGAAGCCCCGGCUAACUCCGUG